rnacentral:sRNA from 1 species
UUGAGACUCUUGAAGGCUGGGCAAGGACGGUAGUGACUGGUAGAGCUAAGCUUGGGG